AGUGAACGCUGGCGGUAGGCCUAACACAUGCAAGUCGAACGGCAGCACAGUAAGAGCUUGCUCUUACGGGUGGCGAGUGGCGGACGGGUGAGGAAUACAUCGGAAUCUACUUUUUCGUGGGGGAUAACGUAGGGAAACUUACGCUAAUACCGCAUACGACCUACGGGUGAAAGCAGGGGAUCUUCGGACCUUGCGCGAUUGAAUGAGCCGAUGUCGGAUUAGCUAGUUGGCGGGGUAAAGGCCCACCAAGUCGACGAUCCGUGGCUGGUCUGAGAGGAUGAUAGGCCACAUGGGAACUGAGACACGGUCCAGACUCCUACGGGAGGCAGCAGUGGGGAAUAUUGGACAAUGGGCGCAAGCCUGAUACAGCCAUACCGCGUGGGUGAAGAAGGCCUUCGGGUUGUAAAGCCCUUUUGUUGGGAAAGAAAAGCAGCAGGUUAAUACCACGCUGUUCUGACGGUACCCAAAGAAUAAGCACCGGCUAACUUCGUG
rnacentral:rRNA from 1 species